rnacentral:rRNA from 1 species
AGUGGCGCACGGGUGAGUAACGCGUGGAUAAUCUGCCCUUCAGACGGGAAUAACCCAUCGAAAGGUGGGCUAAUACCCGAUAAUACUGCAAGACCCCGGUUGAGCAGUCAAAUGAAGGCCUCUGCUUGCAAGCUUUCGCUGAAAGAUGAGUCCGCGUACCAUUAGCUAGUUGGCAGGGUAACGGCCUACCAAGGCGACGAUGGUUAGCUGGUCUGAGAGGAUGAUCAGCCACACUGGAACUGAGACACGGUCCAGACUCCUACGGGAGGCAGCAGUGAGGAAUCUUGCGCAAUGGGGGAAACCCUGACGCAGCAACGCCGCGUGAGUGAGGAAGGUCUUCGGAUCGUAAAGCUCUGUCGGAUGGGAAGAAAUGCAUGCGGGCUAAUACCUCGUAUGCUUGACGGUACCAUCAGAGGAAGCACCGGCUAACUCCGUGCCAGCAGCCGCGGUAAUAC